UACGUAGGUGGCGAGCGUUAUCCGGAAUUAUUGGGCGUAAAGGGUGCGUAGGCGGCUAUUUAAGUUUAAGGUUAAAGUUCGGGGCUUAACUCCGUGAUGCCUUAGAAACUGGGUAGCUAGAGUGCAGGAGAGGUUAGUGGAAUUCCAUGUGUAGCGGUAAAAUGCGUAGAUAUAUGGAGGAACACCAGUGGCGAAGGCGGCUAACUGGCCUGUAACUGACGCUGAGGCACGAAAGCGUGGGGAGCAAAUAGG
rnacentral:rRNA from 1 species